CGAUUGGAUUGCACGUCUAAGCAGUAAGGCUGAGUAUUAGGCAAAUCCGGUACUCAUUAAGGCUGAGCUGUGAUGGGGAGAAGACAUUGUGUCUUCGAGUCGUUGAUUUCACACUGCCGAGAAAAGCCUCUAGAUAGAAAAUAGGUGCCCGUACCGCAAACCGACACAGGUAGUCAAGAUGAGAAUUCUAAGGUGAGCGAGCGAACUCUCGUUAAGGAACUCGGCAAAAUGACCCCGUAACUUCGGGAGAAGGGGUGCUCUUUAGGGUUAACGCCCAGAAGAGCCGCAGUGAAUAGGCCCAAGCGACUGUUUAUCAAAAACACAGGUCUCUGCUAAACCGUAAGGUGAUGUAUAGGGGCUGACGCCUGCCCGGUGCUGGAAGGUUAAGAGGAGUGGUUAGCUUCUGCGAAGCUACGAAUCGAAGCCCCAGUAAACGGCGGCCGUAACUAUAACGGUCCUAAGGUAGCGAAAUUCCUUGUCGGGUAAGUUCCGACCCGCACGAAAGGCGUAACGAUUUGGGCACUGUCUCAACGAGAGACUCGGUGAAAUCAUAGUACCUGUGAAGAUGCAGGUUACCCGCGACAGGACGGAAAGACCCCGUGGAGCUUUACUGUAGCCUGAUAUUGAAAUUCGGCACAGCUUGUACAGGAUAGGUAGGAGCCUUUGAAACGUGAGCGCUAGCUUACGUGGAGGCGCUGGUGGGAUACUACCCUAGCUGUGUUGGCUUUCUAACCCGCACCACUUAUCGUGGUGGGAGACAGUGUCAGGCGGGCAGUUUGACUGGGGCGGUCGCCUCCUAAAAGGUAACGGAGGCGCUCAAAGGUUCCCUCAGAAUGGUUGGAAAUCAUUCAUAGAGUGUAAAGGCAUAAGGGAGCUUGACUGCGAGACCUACAAGUCGAGCAGGGUCGAAAGACGGACUUAGUGAUCCGGUGGUUCCGCAUGGAAGGGCCAUCGCUCAACGGAUAAAAGCUACCCCGGGGAUAACAGGCUUAUCUCCCCCAAGAGUUCACAUCGACGGGGAGGUUUGGCACCUCGAUGUCGGCUCAUCGCAUCCUGGGGCUGUAGUCGGUCCCAAGGGUUGGGCUGUUCGCCCAUUAAAGCGGUACGCGAGCUGGGUUCAGAACGUCGUGAGACAGUUCGGUCCCUAUCCGUCGUGGGCGUAGGAAAUUUGAGAGGAGCUGUCCUUAGUACGAGAGGACCGGGAUGGACAUACCUCUGGUGUACCAGUUGUCGUGCCAACGGCAUAGCUGGGUAGCUAUGUGUGGACGGGAUAAGUGCUGAAAGCAUCUAAGCAUGAAGCCCCCCUCAAGAUGAGAUUUCCCAACUUCGGUUAUAAGAUCCCUCAAAGAUGAUGAGGUUAAUAGGUUCGAGGUGGAAGCAUGGUGACAUGUGGAGCUGACGAAUACUAA
rnacentral:rRNA from 1 species